AGUGAACGCUGGCGGUAGGCCUAACACAUGCAAGUCGAACGGCAGCACAGUAAGAGCUUGCUCUUACGGGUGGCGAGUGGCGGACGGGUGAGGAAUACAUCGGAAUCUACUUUUUCGUGGGGGAUAGCGUAGGGAAACUUACGCUAAUACCGCAUACGACCUACGGGUGAAAGCAGGGGAUCUUCGGACCUUGCGCGAUUGAAUGAGCCGAUGUCGGAUUAGCUAGUUGGCGGGGUAAAGGCCCACCAAGGCGACGAUCCGUAGCUGGUCUGAGAGGAUGAUCAGCCACACUGGAACUGAGACACGGUCCAGACUCCUACGGGAGGCAGCAGUGGGGAAUAUUGGACAAUGGGCGCAAGCCUGAUCCAGCCAUACCGCGUGGGUGAAGAAGGACUUCGGGUUGUAAAGCCCUUUUGUUGGGAAAGAAAAGCAGCAGGUUAAUACCCCGCUGUUCUGACGGUACCCAAAGAAUAAGCACCGGCUAACUUCGU
rnacentral:rRNA from 1 species